rnacentral:rRNA from 1 species
GACGAACGCUGGCGGCGUGCUUAACACAUGCAAGUCGAACGGAAAGGCCCUGCUUCUGUGGGGUGCUCGAGUGGCGAACGGGUGAGUAACACGGGAGUAACCUGCCCUUGACUUUGGGAUAACUUCAGGAAACUGGGGCUAAUACCGGAUAGGAGCUCCUGCUGCAUGGUGGGGGUUGGAAAGUUUCGGCGGUUGGGGAUGGACUCGCGGCUUAUCAGCUUGUUGGUGGGGUAGUGGCUUACUAAGGCUUUGACGGGUAGCCGGCCUGAGAGGGUGACCGGCCACAGUGGGACUGAGAUACGGCCCAGACUCCUACGGGAGGCAGCAGUGGGGAAUAUUGCACAAUGGGCGGAAGCCUGAUGCAGCAACGCCGCGUGCGGGAUGACGGCCUUCGGGUUGUAAACCGCUUGCGCCUGUGACGAAGUGUGAGUGACGGUAAUGGGUAAAGAAGCACCGGCUGACUACGUG